rnacentral:rRNA from 1 species
GGAGCGUGCGGGUGAGGAGGCGGGUGAAAGCGUAGGGGGGGGGGGUUUUGCGGAUGGUGUGGGCGUGAAGGGCGCUGAGGCGGGCUGUCGCGUGUCUGGUGAAAGCGGUCGGCUUAACCGGGAGAGGUCCAGGGAAACGGGCAGGCUUGGGCGUCGGAGAGGGGCAUGGAACUCCGGGUGGAGCGGUGAAAUGCGUAGAGAUCCGGAAGAACACCAAUGGCGAAGGCAGUGCCCUGGCCGACUGCUGACGCUCAGGCGCGAAAGCGUGGGGAGCAAACAGGAUUAGAUACCCUAGUAGUC